rnacentral:lncRNA from 1 species
AUGGUUAAGAUCACUGGAGUGGUUUGUGGAGGAGGCGUCGUUGUUUGGCAGGUAGUUGGUCGGAUAGUCGUAAGGGGGAUGGUUGUUGGCAUCGUUGUUGAAGGUGUAGUUGUGGUAAUAGUGGUUGUGGGCAUAGUUGUUGAAGGUAUAGUUGUGGUAAUAGUGGUUGUGGGCAUAGUUGUUGAAGGUGUAGUUGUGGUAAUAGUGGUUGUGGGCAUAGUUGUUGAAGGUGUAGUUGUGGUAAUAGUGGUUGUGGGCAUAGUUGUUGAAGGUGUAGUUGUGGUAAUAGUGGUUGUGGGCAUAGUUGUUGAAGGUGUAGUUGUGGUAAUAGUGGUUGUGGGCAUAGUUGUUGAAGGUGUAGUUGUGGUAAUAGUGGUUGUGGGCAUAGUUGUUGAAGGUGUAGUUGUGGUAAUAGUGGUUGUGGGCAUAGUUGUUGAAGGUGUAGUUGUGGUAAUAGUGGUUGUGGGCAUAGUUGUUGAAGGUAUAGUUGUGGUAAUAGUGGUUGUGGGCAUAGUUGUUGAAGGUGUAGUUGUGGUAAUAGUGGUUGUGGGCAUAGUUGUUGAAGGUGUAGUUGUGGUAAUAGUGGUUGUGGGCAUAGUUGUUGAAGGUGUAGUUGUGGUAAUAGUGGUUGUGGGCAUAGUUGUUGAAGGUGUAGUUGUGGUAAUAGUGGUUGUGGGCAUAGUUGUUGAAGGUAUAGUUGUGGUAAUAGUGGUUGUGGGCAUAGUUGUUGAAGGUGUAGUUGUGGUAAUAGUGGUUGUGGGCAUAGUUGUUGAAGGUGUAGUUGUGGUAAUAGUGGUUGUGGGCAUAGUUGUUGAAGGUAUAGUUGUGGUAAUAGUGGUUGUGGGCAUAGUUGUUGAAGGUGUAGUUGUGGUAAUAGUGGUUGUGGGCAUAGUUGUUGAAGGUAUAGUUGUGGUAAUAGUGGUUGUGGGCAUAGUUGUUGAAGGUGUAGUUGUGGUAAUAGUGGUUGUGGGCAUAGUUGUUGAAGGUAUAGUUGUGGUAAUAGUGGUCGUGGGUGUGGUUGUUGUCGUGGGUACAGUUGUCGUUCUAGUAGUUGUGGGUGUGGUUGUUGUUGCCGGCGUAGGUGAAGUUGUUGUUAUAGUCGUUGUGGUUGUUGUCGUGGUUGUCGUGGUUGUGGGUGUGGGUGUGGUUGUUGGCAGAAUCGUAGUUGUUGGUAUUGUUGUGGUUGUUGUGGCUAGUGGCGUGGUGAAGACAGGAGUGGUUGUUGUAGUUGUAGUUGUAGUUGGCAUGGUGGUUGUUGGUGUUGUGGUAGUAACGAUGGUGGUAAUUGGUUCUGGGGUUGAGAGUGUAGUGGUGGUUGUGCUGGUUGGUAAAGUGGUGGUUGGUGUUGUGGUAGUAAUAAUGGUGGUAGUUUGUUCUGUGGUUGGGAGGGUUGUAGUAGUUGUGGUUGGGGUGGGGGUUGUGGGGGGAAGGGUGUGGCAAAUAAAUUGA